UACGUAGGGUGCGAGCGUUGUCCGGAAUUACUGGGCGUAAAGAGCUCGUAGGUGGUUUGUCGCGUUGUCCGUGAAAACUCACAGCUCAACUGUGGGCGUGCGGGCGAUACGGGCAGACUGGAGUACUGCAGGGGAGACUGGAAUUCCUGGUGUAGCGGUGAAAUGCGCAGAUAUCAGGAGGAACACCGAUGGCGAAGGCGGCAUCCUGGACCGGUAUUGACGCUGAGGCGCGAAAGCCAGGGGAGCAAACGGG
rnacentral:rRNA from 1 species